rnacentral:rRNA from 1 species
UACAGAGGGGGCAAGCGUUGUUCGGAAUUACUGGGCGUAAAGGGCGCGUAGGCGGCCUUCUAAGUCGAACGUGAAAUCCCCGGGCUCAACCCGGGAACUGCGUCCGAUACUGGGAGGCUUGAAUCCGGGAGAGGGAUGUGGAAUUCCAGGUGUAGCGGUGAAAUGCGUAGAUAUCUGGAGGAACACCGGUGGCGAAGGCGGCAUCCUGGACCGGUAUUGACGCUGAGGCGCGAAAGCUAGGGGAGCAAACGGGG